UACAGAGGUCUCAAGCGUUGUUCGGAUUCAUUGGGCGUAACGGGUGUGUAGGUGGCGCCGUAAGUCGGGUGUGAAAUUUCGGAGCUUAACUCCGAAACUGCAUUCGAUACUGCGGUGCUUGAGGACUGGAGAGGAGACUGGAAUUCAUGGUGUAGCAGUGAAAUGCGUAGAGAGCAUGAGGAAGACCAGUGGCGAAGGCGGGUCUCUGGACAGUUCCUGACACUGAGACACGAAGGCCAGGGGAGCAAACGGG
rnacentral:rRNA from 1 species